UGAUAAUGAUAUGGGAAACCAAUAAACAACUAUAUAAAUUGGUCCCAUGCUUAAUAUAUGUGCUCUUCACCUUUCUGUUUGAAGCCCCAGAUCUCACUCCUCAGUUU
rnacentral:snoRNA from 1 species